UAACAUUUCAGUCCAAAUCAUGAAUAAUAAUAAUAAUCAUCUUUAUUCCAGAUAUUACAUCCAUUUUGUUAGUAAUACAAACAAUUGCUUAUGACUAUGUUAGUAAGUAGGU